UACAGAGGUGGCAAGCGUUGUUCGGAAUUACUGGGCGUAAAGGGCGCGUAGGCGGUCUUGUAAGUCCCGCGUGAAAUCCCCCGGCUCAACUGGGGAACUGCGUGGGAAACUGCGAGGCUUGAGUUCGGGAGAGGGAAGCGGAAUUCCGGGUGUAGCGGUGAAAUGCGUAGAUAUCCGGAGGAACACCGGUGGCGAAGGCGGGUUCCUGGACCGACACUGACGCUGAGGCGCGAAAGCUAGGGGAGCAAACGGG
rnacentral:rRNA from 1 species